rnacentral:rRNA from 1 species
UCGAGAAUCAUUCACAAUGGGCGAAAGCCUGAUGGUGUGACGCCGCGUGGAGGAUGAAGGUCUUCGGAUUGUAAACUCCUGUCAUGUGAGAGUAAGGUGCGCGGAGUAACUGCCGGCGCACUUGAGAGUAUCACAAGAGGAAGAGGCGGCUAACUCUGUGCCAGCAGCCGCGGUAAUACAGAGGCCUCAAGCGUUGUUCGGAAUCACUGGGCGUAAAGGGUGCGUAGGCGGCGCGGAAAGUCAGGGGUGAAAUCCCGGAGCUCAACUCCGGAACUGCCUUUGAUACUCCCGCGCUUGAGAACUGGAGGGGACAUCGGAAUUCACGGUGGAGCAGUGAAAUGCGUGGAUAUCGUGAGGAACACUAGUGGCGAAGGCGGAUGUCUGGACAGUAUCUGACGCUGAGGCACGAAGGCCAGGGGAGCGAACGGG